rnacentral:misc_RNA from 1 species
UUUCCGUAGGUGAACCUGCGGAAGGAUCAUUAUUGAAUAAACAGUGUGGGUUGUUGCUGGCCUUCUGGCAUGUGCACGCCUGCCAUAUGUUUCAUUCCCUUCUUUCCACCUGUGCACUAUGUGUAGGCUAUGUAUGCUGUAUUGUCAGGCCCUUCAUAAGGCUUGGUUUAGAGAGGAUGCUUGUCUUUAUGAGGCAGGCUCAUCUUGGGCGUACAGGUCUAUGUUUUACACCAACACCAAAUGAAUGUCUUAGAAUGUAUUUUUUCAGGCUCUUGCUAGCCUUUAAACCAUAUACAACUUUCAACAACGGAUCUCUUGGCUCUC